rnacentral:rRNA from 1 species
GUAGGUGGCAAGCGUUGUCCGGGAAUUAUUGGGGCGUAAAGCGCGCGCAGGCGGUUCUUUAAGUCUGAUGUGAAAGCCCACGGGCUCAGCCGUGGAGGGUCAUUGGAAACUGGAGAACUUGAGUACAGAAGAGGAAAGCGGAAUUCCACGUGUAGCGGUGAAAUGCGUAGAGAUGUGGAGGAACACCAGUGGCGAAGGCGGCUUUCUGGUCUGUAACUGACGCUGAGGCGCGAAAGCGUGGGGAGCAAACAGGAUUAGAUACCCUGGUAGUCCACGCCGUAAACGAUGAGUGCUAAGUGUUAGGGGGUUUCCGCCCCUUAGUGCUGCAGCUAACGCAUUAAGCACUCCGCCUGGGGAGUACGGCCGCAAAGGCUGA